rnacentral:rRNA from 1 species
AACGAACGCUGGCGGCAGGCUUAACACAUGCAAGUCGAGCGCCCCGCAAGGGGAGCGGCAGACGGGUGAGUAACGCGUGGGAAUCUACCCUUUUCUACGGAAUAACGCAUGGAAACGUGUGCUAAUACCGUAUGAGCCCUUCGGGGGAAAGAUUUAUCGGGAAAGGAUGAGCCCGCGUUGGAUUAGCUAGUUGGUGGGGUAAAGGCCUACCAAGGCGACGAUCC